AACAAAGCCUCUGAUUGGCCCCUGUAAAAGAAGCCAUUCAAAUGCGUUGUUUACAAAUAGUUUGUGAAUAUGAUUAUCAACUUUUGAACUUCGCAACAAACUUUGGAACGAAGUUUGCAACAUGAAAUCAACAGAAAAAGAAAUGAAAUCAACAGAAAAAGUAUAAUAAAGACGUACAAAGGAUCAGUUGCAUGAUACUCUCUUUUUAAGUUUCACCCUGAAAUUACUGUAAAUAGUUAAAGAUGCGGUGCAGUCCAUUCUGCGCAGGCAUACUGUACAUUUGAGCCUCGAGCCUGUAGGGUCUGGCAAAGCCUGAUUUUGCUAUGAUCACUUAUUUUAAAUUAAUGUUGAUCGAAGCAAGGAAAUAUAAUAUAUAUGUACAUGUCAAAACUUCAUUUAUAAAGUUCAUAAUUUAGAAAAUGUAAACAAAGUAGACACAUGCAAAUGGACUGUAUCACAACUUCAAAAUAUGUUUAUGCAAAAUAUGUUUGUGCCAUAUAAUCCCUAGCGGUUACCCCAUCACGUUCUGCUGCAUCAAAAUGCUCCUCUUCAUCUUCCAGCUCAACAAGAUCACCUUCAUCUUCUUCAGGUUCA